UGACCUUUGGGGAAUACAUCGACAGGUCCUUCAGCCCCUGGGACUUCAAGUUGUGUUCCAUGGAUUGGCAGCGCCUUGAAGAGAUAAGAGAGGAUUGGACAACUGCCUGAUAUUCCUGCAUAUAAUAAAACAUGUGGACUUUUAGAACUGGAAGGAACCUGGAAAUUCUAUGAUCUAUCUCUCUCAUAAUUAUCCUAUGUAGAUCAUAAGAUCCCUAUACUGGAAUUAAGUAUCAGUAAACAAAUGUGAGUGGCAUUCAGA